UAUGAAGAACGUAGCGAAAUGCGAUAAGUAAUGUGAAUUGCAGAAUUCAGUGAAUCAUCGAAUCUUUGAACGCACAUUGCGCCCUUUGGUAUUCCGAAGGGCAUGCCUGUUCGAGCGUCAUUUCACCACUCAAGCCUGGCUUGGUAUUGGGCGCCGCGGUCGAUCCGCGCGCCUCAAAGUCUCCGGCUGAGCUGUCCGUCUCUAAGCGUUGUGAUUUCAUUAAUCGCUUCGGAGUGCGGGCGGCCGCGGCCGUUAAAUCUUUCACAAGGUUGACCUCGGAUCAGGUAGGGAUACCCGCUGAACUUAAGCAUAUCAAUAAGCGGAGGA
rnacentral:misc_RNA from 1 species